CCCGGGGUCAACUCUCUUUCUGCUUGGUGGAAAUUCUCCCUACGUACCAAAGAGAAGUAGCUCUUUGGAAGAGUAGCCAGGGGACUCUGGUAUCUGUGUCACUGUACCUUGCUUCUGCAUAGAAAAACUCAGGGGCAAUUAGAGGGUACAGAGGUGGUCUAACACUUUAAUGAAUCAAGACUUAAAGACCUGGGAUCCAUUUUCACCACCGUCGUCCCCAACGACCACGGGAGUCUUAUUCAGGAACGGUCUGGUUCAGCAGAAUGGACAAUGUUGUAAGCUCUCGAGGAGAAAGGGGUUCCCACACAGCCCUUUGGAAAUAAUACUGAGUGGCCUGGGGACGCUUACCUUUCUAUGUUCUUAGAGUCAAGGCCUGGUGACUGAGAUUCUUGUCAGUUGGUUGAGGCUACCUUUGCCCUUCCAGGCAAGGCACUCCCUAGCAGACUCCGCCUACCGGGGGACAGCCUGAGGCAAGGAGCAAGUGCACCUCCCUCCUACACCUUGGAAAGCCCCAAGCCUUUUCCCUCAAGUCUUGCCGGCCGUCGCCUCCAGGGGGCGCUCCAUCCAUGUCUCACAAUAGCUAAAGAGGGACAGCUAGGUUUAGUUCAGCUAAACUAGGUUUAAAUCAACCUCUCUCUACCUUCUGAAUGCUGGGAUUAAAGGCGUGCAUCACC
rnacentral:lncRNA from 1 species